rnacentral:rRNA from 1 species
UACGUAGGGUGCAAGCAUUAAUCGGAAUUAUUGGGCGUAAAGGGCGCGUAGGCGGAGAUGUAAGUCAGAUGUGAAAUCCCGGGGCUCAACCCCGGAACUGCAUUUGAAACUGCAUUUCUAGAGGAUAGGCGGAGAAAACGGAAUUCCACAAGUAGCGGUGAAAUGCGUAGAUAUGUGGAAGAACACCUGUGGCGAAAGCGGUUUUCUAGCUUAUUCCUGACGCUGAGGCGCGAAAGCAAGGGGAUCAAACAGG